CAAGUACUCCCUUCGUCCGGAAUUACUUGUCAUCAAAAUGGAUGUGUCUACAACUAAAAUACAUCUAGAUACAUCCAUUUCAAUGACAAGUAUUUUCGGACGGAGGGAGUACAAG
rnacentral:pre_miRNA from 1 species